rnacentral:rRNA from 1 species
GACGAACGCUGGCGGCGUGCCUAAUACAUGCAAGUAGAACGCUGAAGGAGGAGCUUGCUUCUCUGGAUGAGUUGCGAACGGGUGAGUAACGCGUAGGUAACCUGCCUGGUAGCGGGGGAUAACUAUUGGAAACGAUAGCUAAUACCGCAUAAGAGUAGAUGUUGCAUGACAUUUGCUUAAAAGUUGCAAUUGCAUCACUACCAUAUGGACCUGCGUUGUAUUAGCUAGUUGGUGGGGUAACGGCUCACCAAGGCGACGAUACAUAGCCGACCUGAGAGGGGGAUCGGCCACACUGGGACGGAGACACGGCCCAGACUCCUACGGGAGGCAGCAGUAGGGAAUCUUCGGCAAUGGACGGAAGUCUGACCGAGCAACGCCGCGUGAGUGAAGAAGGGUUUCGGAUCGUAAAGCUCUGUUGUAAGAGAAGAACGAGUGUGAGAGUGGAAAGUUCACACUGUGACGGUAUCUUACCAGAAAGGGACGGCUAACUACGUG